CUUGUCUUUUCUCCAGACAUGGACUCCUUUGUUUUGUUUUAUUUCAAAAGGUGACAAGGAAAGUGAUGCGAUCAUCUGGCUGCCCUCGUGUGGCUCCUCUGCCCAGUUCCCUCUCGCCCAGUCGGUGGGCGUUUCUGCCUCUUACAGAGGUUCACCGCCUCGGGUGCCGGUGAACUUUCCUGAAUCAUCAUGUUUAAGCGAUGAUUCUGCCAAACACUCAUUCUAGGUUCAGAGUCCUUUUCCUCUAGCUCCGAGGCGGCCACGCUCUCUCCUGCAGACCUCUGUGCGCCUGGGGACGGCCGUGUCUGGCUGUCUGGGUCACCUGCUUCCCCUCCUUGGCAGCUUCGGGAAGAUCUCAGUCUUGCAUUUUUCUUGUUUCUCAGCGAGGGAGGACUUCUCAUGGCUUCCUGUGGCGUUUGACAGGCCCGUCCACUCUGAGGCCCCCAUUGGAGUUUGGGGGUUCAUCUCUGCCCUGCUGUGACCUCCGCCCUCCCCGGGCUCUGUCGGCUUAUCUCCUCUGGGCUCUUCUCCUGAGCACCCUGACGCUGCUCCUCCACUGAGCACCCGCUCUCCAGCCCCGUGGCCUCUGCUGCCCGAUGGUUUCCUGCCCUCCGCACAGAAGCCUCCGUCUUCUCCCGCCAGCCUGGGCUCUGCUCUCAGAACACCCCCCCGUUUGCCGGCUAACCUUGGGAUGCCUUUCCCUGGGUGCUGACCGCUGGUGUUGAGCCCUCUGUGUGGACCUGCUCUGACCCCUGCAGGGUCUCCCCCUUGCUGUCACUGUUGCUGUGCUUGUUUGGGUCAUGGCCUGGAGAUUCCUUUGCUUACAAAUCCGUGUUUCUUUAAGGCAGAGCACCUCUGGCACUGGGCAAGGCUGUGGGUUCAGUCUCAGCAAAGAAUUUGUAGCAAUUUUCAUCAUAUAAUUAUAUAAACCCAACUGUGUGGAAGUGCAGCUAUCAAAAUCUCAGAAAAGAAAUUUUGGAAUAAUAAUGUAGACGGCCUUCCUCACACAGGCCUGGCCAGCUGCUGCCAGGCCCUGGUUUGUGGUGUUUCUGGAAAUCUGUGCUACCUGCCGGGGGCAAAGUCACAGACUGAGGGCCAUCUGCUGCAGACGUUGGCUCCCAUUAGCCGAAACACCUCGUUCCCUGGAUUUGAGGGAAACACAGUUGUGGUCUCUGCCACGGAAUACCUGGCCUCCAGGGCUGGGCCCUGCCCUGAGGUGGGCGUUCUCAGGGCCACGCUCCACAGGGCUCCCCUGGGACAGGCACAGCUCAAGAGCCCAGUUUUGGCAAGAAUCUCGCUGAGUCUGUUUAGCAAGAGCCCCUCCCCUGUGCGGUCUGGAGACCCUGCAGACCCUGGCAGUCUCAGCAAGACCCCGUUAGGACCAGCUGGCCAGGACCCCCUCCUGUGU
rnacentral:lncRNA from 1 species